UGGGGAAUUUUGGACAAUGGGCGCAAGCCUGAUCCAGCCAUGCCGCGUGCGGGAAGAAGGCCUUCGGGUUGUAAACCGCUUUUGUCAGGGAAGAAAUCUUCUGAGUUAAUACCUCGGGAGGAUGACGGUACCUGAAGAAUAAGCACCGGCUAACUACGUGCCAGCAGCCGCGGUAAUACGUAGGGUGCAAGCGUUAAUCGGAAUUACUGGGCGUAAAGCGUGCGCAGGCGGUUUUGUAAGACAGAGGUGAAAUCCCCGGGCUCAACCUGGGAACUGCCUUUGUGACUGCAAGGCUUGAGUGCGGCAGAGGGGGAUGGAAUUCCGCGUGUAGCAGUGAAAUGCGUAGAUAUGCGGAGGAACACCGAUGGCGAAGGCAAUCCCCUGGGCCUGCACUGACGCUCAUGCACGAAAGCGUGGGGAGCAAACAGGAUUAGAUACCCUGGUAGUCCACGCCCUAAACGAUGUCAACUGGUUGUUGGGAGGGUUCCUUCUCAGUAACGUAGCUAACGCGUGAAGUUGACCGCCUGGGGAGUACGGCCGCAAGGUU
rnacentral:rRNA from 1 species